rnacentral:piRNA from 1 species
UGAAGAUUCUGGAACAGCUCUGCCGCGA